GGCUUAGAGUUUGAUCAUGGCUCAGGAUGAACGCUAGCGGCAGGCUUAAUACAUGCAAGUCGAGGGGCAGCAGCUUUAUAGCAAUAUAGAGGCUGGCGACCGGCAAACGGGUGCGGAACACGUACACAACCUUCCUUUAAGUGGGGGAUAGCCCAUAGAAAUGUGGAUUAAUACCCCGUAAUAUUAUUGAAGUGGCAUCACUUUAUAAUUAUAGUUUCGACGCUUGAAGAUGGGUGUGCGGCUGAUUAGGUAGUUGGCGGGGUAAAGGCCCACCAAGCCUUCGAUCAGUAGCUGAUGUGAGAGCAUGAUCAGCCACACGGGCACUGAGACACGGGCCCGACUCCUACGGGAGGCAGCAGUAAGGAAUAUUGGUCAAUGGACGCAAGUCUGAACCAGCCAUGCCGCGUGAAGGAUGAAGGUCCUCUGGAUUGUAAACUUCUUUUAUAGGGGGCGAAAAAAGGGAAUUCUUUCUCACUUGACAGUACCCUAUGAAUAAGCACCGGCUAACUCCGUGCCAGCAGCCGCGGUAAUACGGAGGGUGCAAGCGUUAUCCGGAUUCACUGGGUUUAAAGGGUGCGUAGGCGGAUAGGUAAGUCAGGGGUGAAAUCCUGGAGCUUAACUCCAGAACUGCCUUUGAUACUAUCUAUCUUGAAUAUGGUGGAGGUAAGCGGAAUAUGUCAUGUAGCGGUGAAAUGCAUAGAUAUGACAUAGAACACCUAUUGCGAAGGCAGCUUACUACGCCUAUAUUGACGCUGAGGCACGAAAGCGUGGGGAUCAAACAGGAUUAGAUACCCUGGUAGUCCACGCCCUAAACGAUGAUUACUCGACGUAUGCGAUACACAGUAUGCGUCUGAGCGAAAGCAUUAAGUAAUCCACCUGGGAAGUACGACCGCAAGGUUGAAACUCAAAGGAAUUGGCGGGGGUCCGCACAAGCGGUGGMGCAUGUGRUUUAAUUCGAUGAUACGCGAGGAACCUUACCUGGGCUAGAAUGCAGUCUGACCGUGGGUGAAAGCUC
rnacentral:rRNA from 1 species